GAUGAACGCUGGCGGCGUGCCUAAUACAUGCAAGUCGAGCGAACAGAUAAGGAGCUUGCUCCUUUGACGUUAGCGGCGGACGGGUGAGUAACACGUGGGUAACCUACCUAUAAGACUGGAAUAACUCCGGGAAACCGGGGCUAAUGCCGGAUAACAUUUAGAACCGCAUGGUUCUAAAGUGAAAGAUGGUUUUGCUAUCACUUACAGAUGGACCCGCGCCGUAUUAGCUAGUUGGUAAGGUAACGGCUUACCAAGGCAACGAUACGUAGCCGACCUGAGAGGGUGAUCGGCCACACUGGAACUGAGACACGGUCCAGACUCCUACGGGAGGCAGCAGUAGGGAAUCUUCCGCAAUGGGCGAAAGCCUGACGGAGCAACGCCGCGUGAGUGAUGAAGGUCUUCGGAUCGUAAAACUCUGUUAUUAGGGAAGAACAAAUGUGUAAGUAACUGUGCACGUCUUGACGGUACCUAAUCAGAAAGCCACGGCUAACUACGUG
rnacentral:rRNA from 1 species